AGAGCCUUCGGGCAGAUGAAGCGUAAACUUAGCGGGCGGACGGGUGAGUAACGCGUGGGCAACCAACCUUGAUCAGGGGGACAACACUGGGAAACCAGUGCUAAUACCGCAUGACUCUACCGGGUGGCAUCACCGGGUAGAGAAAGAUUUAUCGGAUCAAGACGGGCCCGCGUCUGAUUAGCUAGUUGGUGGGGUAAAGGCCCACCAAGGCAAUGAUCAGUAGCCGACCUGAGAGGGUGACCGGCCACACUGGAACUGAGACACGGUCCAGACUCCUACGGGAGGCAGCAGUGGGGAAUAUUGCACAAUGGGCGCAAGCCUGAUGCAGCAACGCCGCGUGAGCGAAGAAGGCCUUCGGGUACGUAAAGCUCUGUCCUAUGGGAAGAAGAAGUGACGGUACCAUAGGAGGGAAGCCCCGGCGUAA
rnacentral:rRNA from 1 species